CAUGAGGAUUAUGGGAGAUGUAGUUUUUCGCCGCCUCUCCACCUGGGCGCCAACCAGUGGCGGAACUACAAUACCCACAAUAUAGUGCGCACUGCGGCACCUACAGGCCAGAGAGCGUCCGCCAUGUUAACACCCGAACGGCGGUGAACUGUCUCCAUCCAUCAGUAGCAGCUGCCGCUAGAUUCCUCUGCGGGAAUCCAGUUAACAGUGCUGAAGAAAAAACAGCGCCCUACUCUUCAAUUUUACCAGCAGUCCAGCCACGCCCUUCAUCUCUUUCACAGAUCAAAUUUUAGAAAAAAGUGACAUUCUGAAAAAUCCUCACAUUUCAUCCACUUAAUAUUUGUACAAGGAUGAACAACGAAGAAAGCUCAAUUGGGCAUUGGAAGCUUUAAUAGAGUUAGACUAUGAGAAGAAUGACAUCUGUGUUCUGCAGGCAUCUGCAGUAGGGGCGGGGAUGAGCGAGAUUGCAGAAUGCGGACAAUGAGGAAAGCAAUUUGACCGAGCCCACAGUUGCUGCAGAAUUUAUUUCACACUUCCAUCAUGUAUCCUUGUCUUUUUACUUUGGAAUGUCGGAAAGAGAGACAUUACACACAACGUUGUGAUAAAAUUAUGCCGUGCAUCAUUAGUUUAAAAAUAGCGAAACAGCUUUUUUACUGCAAUAUAGAAUGAUGUGUACAUGUUUAAAUGCUGUAAGUGAUUUUAGCGUGGAUAACAUUAAAUGAAGGUAUGCAGUGCCAACCCAUUCUCUUUA